CCCUUAGAUGUCCUGGGCCGCACGCGCGCUACACUGAGUGUCUGAGAUACGAGUCUGCCUGGUCCGGCAAGGUCUAGGUAAUCGCUAAAAGACACAUCAUGCUUGGGAUAGAUUAUUGCAAAUAUUAAUCUUGAACGAGGAAUUCCUAGUAAGCGCAAGUCAACAGCUUGCGUUGAUUACGUCCCUGCCCUUUGUACACACCGCCCGUCGCUACUACUGAUUGAGUGAUCCGGUGAAUAAUUCGGACUGCAGCAGUGCUUGGUCCUCCGGGCUUUGCAGCGGAAAGUUUAGUGAACCUUAUCACUUAGAGGAAGGAGAAGUCGUAACA
rnacentral:rRNA from 1 species